GCGUCCAGCGCCACCGCUACCGACCUCCAGCCUUCGUCCCGUAACUCCUCCCGCGCGCCCUAUCUCUCUUCUUCUCCCUUCUCCCUUCCCGACCUCUCUCUCACAAAUCCUGUCUCUGGCCCAUGGAUCCCGAUGGAGCACCAUGGAUCCCGAUGUGGAGCUCCACUACGGCCAGAUCUGACCUGGGAGCGGCCAGAUCCGUGCGUCUCCGCCUCGAUCCGCGCGCCUCCAUGGUCCGCCGUCUUCUCGAGCGCCGGCGCUGCGCUCAGCCGCCGCCGUCCCAUGCCAUGGAUGCCUCCCUCCAAAACGACCUGCCAUGGCCGCCUCCCUGCCUCUCCCGCAAGUGGGCCUCUGCGCGACCAGAUCCGUUCUUCUGUGCCUCGCUCCGCGCGCCUCCAUGGUCCUCAGUCUUCCCGAGCGCCGGCGCCGCGCGCAGCCGCCGCCGUCCCAUGCCAUGGCCGCCUCCUGAUGUCCAAUUCUUUUUGUUGUUGCUAUAUUCAACCUCAUCUCUGAAAUUUUACAUCUUCAUGUGUUGCUGCUAUAUGCAGGUGUAUCAAGUUUCACAAGGUCAGUGAUUAUUGAACCAUCUGGAGUCUGUACUGGAGGCAUACAGUAGGAGCGCGGCGCUGAACAGUUGAACAAAACUCAGCUUCAAUUAAUCGAAAUGCGCAUGUAGAAG